GGGUAUUUAGCUUAGAGGCAGAGCAUCUGACUUUUAAUCAGAGGUCUUGGGUUCGAUCCCCAAAAUACCAU
rnacentral:tRNA from 1 species